AUGACAUCCACUCUGCUAUGAAGCUAGACAGAUACUGUAAAAUUGCUACAGUACCAAACACUGUCAUCUUGCAUUCUGCCUCCCUCCUACUGCCCAUCUGGAAUGGGAUCAUGUCUACAUGCAAGUGGCCAGCUAAUAAAUCACAUUGAACAGUUUCUGGAUACCAAUGAAACGCCGUAUUUUAUGAAGAGCAUGGACUGCAUCACAGUCUUCCGGGAAGAAGCCAUUCAGUUUUCAGAAGAGCAGCGAUUUAACGAUUUCCUGAAAGCCCUUCGAGAGAAAGUGGAAAUGAAACAGUUAAAUCAUUUCUGGGAAAUUGUCAUUCAGGGUAAGGUGUCUUCUGUCAUUUUCUCCAAA